UACGUAGGGUGCGAGCGUUGUCCGGAAUUAUUGGGCGUAAAGAGCGCGCAGGCGGUCUAUCAAGUCAGAUGUGAAAUAUCCCGGCUUAACCGGGAGGGGUCAUUUGAAACUGGUAGACUAGAGUACAGCAGAGGAUAGCGGAAUUCCCGGUGUAGUGGUGAAAUGCGUAGAUAUCGGGAGGAACACCAGUGGCGAAGGCGGCUAUCUGGGCUGAAACUGACGCUGAGGCGCGAAGGCUAGGGGAGCAAACAGG
rnacentral:rRNA from 1 species